rnacentral:rRNA from 1 species
CCUACGGGUGGCUGCAGUGAGGAAUAUUGGUCAAUGGCCGGAAGGCUGACCCAGCAACGCCGCGUGAAGGAAGAAGGCUUUCGGGUUGUAAACUUCUUUUGUCAGGGAAGAGUAGAAGACGGUACCUGACGAAUAAGACACGGCUAACUACGUGCCAGCAGCCGCGGUAAUACGUAGGUGGCAGGCGUUGUACGGAUUUACUGGGUGUAAAGGGCGUGUAGCCGGGUUGACAAGUCAGAUGUGAAAUCCUGCGGCUUAACCGCAGAACUGCAUUUGAAACUGUUGAUCUUGAGUACUGGAGAGGCAGACGGAAUUCCUAGUGUAGCGGUGAAAUGCGUAGAUAUUAGGAGGAACACCAGUGGCGAAGGCGGUCUGCUGGACAGCAACUGACGGUGAGGCGCGAAAGCGUGGGGAGCAAACAGGAUUAGAUACCCCAGUAGUC